rnacentral:rRNA from 1 species
AUUGAACGCUAGCGGCAUGCUUUACACAUGCAAGUCGAACGAGUGGCGGACGGGUGAGUAAUAUAUCGGAAAGUGCCCAGUAGCGGGGGAUAACUACUCGAAACAGUGGCUAAUACCGCAUACCAUCGGAUCUGCCCAUAUCGGCUUAGCUAGUUGGUGGGGUAAAGGCUCACCAAGGCAACGAUCCGUAGCUGGUUUGAGAGGAUGACCAGCCAAACUGGGACUGAGACAAGGUCCAGACUCCUACGGGAGGCAGCAGUGGGGAAUUUUGGACAAGGGGCGAAAGCCUGAUCCAGCCAUUCCGCGUGUAUGAGAAGGCCUUCGGGUUGUAAAGUACUUUUGGCAGGGAAGCGGUAUCUGCAGAAGAAGCACCGGCUAACUCCGUGCCAGCAGCCGCGGUAAUAC